rnacentral:pre_miRNA from 10 species
GCACGGCCGUCCUCUCCAACAAUAUCCUGGUGCUGAGUGAUGACUCAGGCAACUCCAGCAUCAGUGAUUUUGUUGAAGAGGGCAGCUGCCA